UGAGCAAUCUGCCCUUCUCAUCGGAAUAAGCGUUGGAAACGACGUCUAAUGCCGAAUACGACCUCCUAUCGCAUGAUCGGAGGUGGAAAGCUCCGGCGGAGAAGGAUGAGCUCGCGGCCUAUCAGCUUGUUGGUGGGGUAAUAGCUCACCAAGGCGAUGACGGGUAGCCGGCCUGAGAGGGUGACCGGCCAAACUGGGACUGAGACACGGCCCAGACUCCUAGGAGG
rnacentral:rRNA from 1 species